GAGAGGUCCAGAAGACCUGCUAACUCUUCAACCUGGUAAAAUACCAGCCCUCUCUUCUACCAAAGG
rnacentral:tRNA from 1 species